rnacentral:rRNA from 1 species
GACGAACGCUGGCGGCGUGCUUAACACAUGCAAGUCGAGCGGUAAGGCCCUUUCGGGGGUACACGAGCGGCGAACGGGUGAGUAACACGUGGGUGACCUGCCCUCAGCUCUGGGAUAAGCCUGGGAAACCGGGUCUAAUACUGGAUAGGACUCCAUGCGCAUGUUGUGGGGUGGAAAGCCUUGUGCGGCUGAGGAUGGGCCCGCGGCCUAUCAGCUUGUUGGUGGGGUGANGGCCUACCAAGGCGACGACGGGUAGCCGGCCUGAGAGGGCGACCGGCCACACUGGGACUGAGACACGGCCCAGACUCCGUACGGGGGGCAGCAGGUGGGGAAUCUUGCGCAAUGGGCGAAAGCCUGACGCAGCGACGCCGCGUGA